rnacentral:lncRNA from 10 species
AUUUCAUACAUGUGUCAUUAAAUUCUAGACUAAUUCAUUGUUUUUAAGUUUUUGCCUACAUUUUAAACUAACACUGCUUGUCCCUGUGAACCAACCAGCAAUCUCUGACUGAAGCUCAGAAAGAACAAAAGGGAGGGGUGAUGUAAAAAUCUGGAUCGAUAUUCUAGUUCUGGGCAAUUAUCCUGCAAAUCCUGCUGGGUGAUGGGAAUAAAUAGGAUGCCCAUAACCCAGAGGUUUCCUUUUUGUGGAAGUAAGACCAAGGGAGCUAACCAAAGCCAAGCCCCAUUCACCCAAAUCUGAGCAAGCAUAACUGUAGCCACCAGUUAUCUUGGCAUGUCACAAGCCAUCCUUUUCUCUCCCUUGUUGAAGGAGGACUCAAUUCCACAGCUUCACCUUAGCAUUUGGCUUAUGAUGAGGAGCCCAUGCAACCCCCUUGAGACACAUAUUUGUUCCAAACUCAAUUCCAAGCUUCAGGUCAAAGCCAUAGGAAAGAAAACUGGAUCUGGAAGAUUCAGAGGCAGAUGAUAACUGAAGUUAAAAGGCACACUGCAGUAUUUGGAGACCGACUGAGCUGAAAAAGAGAGAGAUCACAAGCUUAGUUGCAGUGACACCUUUUGCCUCUCCAUAAAAGUGAAACUGGCUGACAAAAUGGAGAGCCUGGGACAUCAGGGACAGGAGACAAAACAGCGCAGCAAGUAUGCAGACAAGACGGCUGCUUUUGGUAAUUAAAGAUGGCCUGGUUAAUACCGGGAGGUAACAAAG